AGGAUUAUGUUGGGAACAAGCGGUUGGAGUUAUCUGGUCAGCUUAUUUCCCUACUUUUUGAGGAUUUGUUCAAGACAAUGAUUAGUGAGGUUAAGAAGACUGUGGAUGCUAUUUUAACAAAGCCCAGCAGGUCUAGUCGUUUUGACUUUUCUCAGUGGAUAGUGAGAGAUAGCAUAACAAUGGGACUUGAGAGGAGCCUUUCUACUGGGAAUUGGGAUGUUAAGCGAUUUAAGAUGAGCCGGAAAGGCAUGACACAGGUUGUAUACUUCCCAUAAUUUUAAUAUUUUUUCCUGUAUAUAUGUUCUUUCAGCCAAUUUUAGUUUAUCCAAUUUUCCUGCAUACUUGCACAAUGUAAAACUACUUGAAUCCCUGGUUUCAUUACUCAAAUCGUUUAAAAUACCUUCUGGUUCGAAAUAGCAUUUUGUACUAGUCUGAUUGUUUC